rnacentral:rRNA from 1 species
UGCAGUCGAACGCACCUUCGGGUGAGUGGCGCACGGGUGAGUAUCGCGUGGGAACGUACCCUUUAGUACGGAAUAGCUCCGGGAAACUGGAAUUAAUACCGUAUACGCCCUUCGGGGGAAAGAUUUAUCGCUAAAGGAUCGGCCCGCGUUAGAUUAGGUUGUUGGUGGGGUAAUGGCCUACCAAGCCUACGAUCUAUAGCUGGUCUGAGAGGAUGAUCAGCCACACUGGUACUGAGACACGGACCAGACUCCUACGGGAGGCAGCAGUGGGGAAUAUUGGACAAUGGGCGCAAGCCUGACCCAGCCAUGCCGCGUGAGUGAUGAAGGCCCUAGGGUUGUAAAGCUCUUUUAUCCGGGAAGAUGAAGACGGUACCGGAAGAAUAAGCCCCGGCUAACUUCGUGCCAGCAGCCGCGGUAAUACGAAGGGGGCUAGCGUUGUUCGGAAUUACUGGGCGUAAAGCGCGCGUAGGUGGCUUGGCAAGUCAGGGUGAAAUCCCGGAGCUCAACUCCGGAACUGCCUUUGAAACUGCCCGGCUUGAGUCUCGGNNGGGAUGGUGGAAUUUCUAAUGUAGCGGUGAAAUGCGUAGAGAUUAGAAGGAACACCGGUGGCGAANGCGACCAUCUGGACGAGUACUGACACUGANGUGCGAAAGCGUGGGGAGCNAACAGGAUUAGAUACCCUGGUAGUCCACGCCCUAAACGAUGGGUGCUAGCCGUCGGGCCAACGGUUCGGUGGCGUANCUAACGCGUUAAGCACCCCGNCUGGGGAGUACGGNCGCAAGNUUAAAACUCAAAGAAAUUGACGGGGNNCCGCACAAGCGG